ensembl:misc_RNA Y_RNA Y RNA
GGCUGGUCUGAAGGUAGUGAGUUACCUCAAUUCAUUGUCCAGUCAGUUACAGAUCGAACUUGUUCUACUCUUUCCCUCCUUUUCACUACUGCACUUGACUAGUCUAAA